rnacentral:rRNA from 1 species
GACGAACGCUGGCGGCGUGCCUAAUACAUGCAAGUCGAACGAAUUUUCUUUCACCGUAGCUUGCUACACCGAAAGAAAAUGAGUGGCGAACGGGUGAGUAACACGUGGGUAACCUGCCCAUCAGCGGGGGAUAACACUUGGAAACAGGUGCUAAUAUCGCAUAAUUCAAUUUACCGUAUGGUAAAUGGAUGAUAGGCGCUUUUGUGUCUCUGUUGGAUGGACACGAGGUGCUUUAGCUAGUAGGUGGGGUCACGGCCUACCAAGGCUGCGAUGCAUAGCCGGCCUGGGGGGGUGAUCGGGCCCACCGGGAAUGGGACACGGCCCAGACUCCCACGGGGAGCAGCAGUAGGGAAACUUUGGCAAUGGACGCAAGUCUGACCGGACAACGCCGCGUGAGUGAAUAAGGGUUUCGGAUCGUAAAACUCUGUUUUUAGGGGAGAACAAGGAUGAGAGUGGAAAGUGCACGCCUUGACGGUAUCUAACCAGAAAGCCACGGCUAACUACGUG